CAUUUUGGUAUCUUUCAUCUGAC
rnacentral:piRNA from 1 species